rnacentral:rRNA from 1 species
AUGUUUCAGGUUGGGCUGGCAUCCGGGCUUGGGCAGUAUACCAAAGUCGUAAGGGAAGCUCAGAAGGGAUUAAAACUUCAGAAUGUGAGGUUUGUCGACGCAAUGGGGUUGCCAUUCCAAGAUGGCCAUUUGCAUCUUAACACCCAGGCUCAGGUCCAGCUGGGACAUAUGCUGGCUCAAUCCUAUUUGACUUAUGGUACAUUCAAACACUAG